CAAGCCCCCGGCCGCUGCUGAGCUGGUCGCUGCGCUUGCAGCUUCCCGAAGCCUUCGGGGCCUUGCUUCCUUUCCGGCUGACUUCCUCCCCACCCCCGCUAUGGGGUGGAGACAAAGCCUUGGGGAGUUCGCAGUGCUGUUUUGUUGGCAACGACCACUCUCCUGGUUCUAGAAAAACUGGAAAUACCCUGUGGUUAUGCUUCCCUGUGAUCAGCCACUUCCUGAUCCAGCCCCUGUCCAGGAAGGAGAGCUUCCUACCAACACGCUAAUCGGGAGCCUCAGGUUUACAGAGAGCCAGUGGAGGAGCUGCUCCACUCUAGGCGGGGGACUUCGAGGCCACACCCUGAAACUGCUAUCGGAAAGAGAGAUCGCCAUAAGAAAAAUACAGGUCUUUUCCCAAGUCAAAGAAAGGCUUCUUUUCCUCCUAACUUUGAUCAUACCACUUAAUCAUUCACAGUCUAAGCUCAAUGUCCUGCUAUUUAUAUAGAGAGAAAUUCUUCCAGGAAAUGGGCCACAUGCCUUUGCAUUUCACAUAGUAUUUCUUUUAUAACAGGUAUAAUGUGUUUUUCGAGGGAAUGGCUUAUAUCUAAGAGUAAUACUUCAUCUAUGGACUGUAUAAAAUGGCCUCAAAUUCAUCACAGAAGCAAAAGGAAAGCUAUGGAUGUUGGGUAGCCAGUUCCACCACACACACACACACACACACACACACACACCCACACACAUCUAUGAUCAAUUGUAUUAGGGAAAUGCUGGAUUAUAAUACUUAAAUUGUUUAUUGACUUCAAAACUUCUCAAGUUCUUAAAUAUGCUAAUGUGUGAAAUGUAAUUAUAAGAGGAGAACAUAAUUUGGAGUAUUUUACCCAAAUGUUUUUGAUCAGUGGGACCCUUUUGUAUUGCAUAAUGUUACUCAAACACAUUCAGUCUUUGUAUGUUAUACAAUCCCGAUUUAUUAAAGGAUGUGCAUUUUCCUAAGACGGGUGACAUCUGGGAGUGUGCACUGGAUUGGACAGAACUCCAAGGGAGGACGGUGAUGAAAAUUCAAUGCAAAACUAGCUUCGGUUAAACUAAAAUGCACCAGCUGUGCAGCUGAGACCCAUUAUAAAGCAUCUUCGUUCAGGGCUGAGUAGGUAUUUUGUCUUUGCUCUUUCUUGGUCAUUUUCUCUCUCUCUUUCUGCCUUUCAGUUCUGCUUUUCCGUUACCACCUCCUCCCGAGAAAGCUCUUUCUAUGAGGUGGCAAACCUGUGAUUUCAGAAGGGAAGGGGCCUCUUUUCUGGGAAUCCCAGCAUAACCUAGAGAGGGUGCUCAUUGGCCAGUUUGGGUGAUGGAUCCAUUUGUAAUCCAAACACUGUGGACAGGGGAAUGCAGGAUAACGGGGGGCUCAGGUCAAGGUCACAUGUUCACCCCAUGACGGAGGUGAAAGAGGAGUUAUUUCCACUCAACUACACAGAAUAGGGUCUAAGAGAGACACAAGGCAGAAGAAGAGAUGCCAGGCAGGCAAAAAAAUCAACAGAUGUCUACUGUUUUUUUCACGCAUACCUCAAGUCUGGCAGGGUGCCUCCUUCUGCAGGCUUCCCACUUGUUUUAAGCCUAUGCCACUGUUGCCAUAUCUGGUGCCUCAAUGAGUCCUGAAAUUGAUCAGCUAUCUUCACUUGGAAGGAAACAUUUCUCAGACAGCACCCUUCUCUCUUUUCCUUGCACAAAUGGCUAACUCUGUAAGCCAAACAGUGACAACAUCCUC